UGGCAAACGGGUGAGUAACACGUAAGUAACCUACCCUUAAGACUGGAACAACUAGUCGAAAGAUUGGCUAAUUCCAGAUGUGGCCCCGAUAACAUAUGUUAUUGGGAUUAAAUCCCGCAAGGGGCUUAAGGAUGGGCUUGCGGCCUAUCAGCUAGUUGGUGAGGUAACGGCCCACCAAGGCAAUGACGGGUAGCUGGUCUGAGAGGACGACCAGUCACAAGGGAACUGAGACACGGUCCCUACUCCUACGGGAGGCAGCAGUGAGGAAUUUUCCGCAAUGGGCGAAAGCCUGACGGAGCGACGCCGUGUGUGGGACGAAAUCCUUCGGGAUGUAAACCACUGUCAGAGGGGAAGAUAUUGACGGUACCCUCAGAGGAAGCCCCGGCUAACUACGUGCCAGCAGCCGCGGUAAUACGUAGGGGGCGAGCGUUGUCCGGAAUCAUUGGGCGUAAAGGGCGCGUAGGUGGUUUUGUAAGUCAGAUGUUAAAUCUACAGGCUCAACCUGUAGCCGCAUUUGAUACUGCUUAACUAGAGAGUGGUAGAGGAAAGCGGAACUUCCGGUGUAGCGGUGAAAUGCGUAGAUAUCGGAAGGAACACCAGUGGCGAAGGCGGCUUUCUGGACCACUUCUGACACUGAGGCGCGAAAGCUAGGGGAGCAAACGGGAUUAGAUACCCCGGUAGUCCUAGCUGUAAACAAUGUUCACUAGGUGUUGUAGGUAUCGACCCCUUCAGUGCCGAAGCUAACGCAUUAAGUGAACCGCCUGGGGACUACGGCCGCAAGGCUAAAACUCAAAAGAAUUGACGGGGGCCCGCACAAGCGGUGGAGCAUGUGGUUCAAUUCG
rnacentral:rRNA from 1 species